AGGACGAACGCUGGCGGCGUGCCUAAUACAUGCAAGUGGAACGCAAGGGAACACACCGUGCUUGCACAUCGUGUUUUCUUGAGUCGCGAACGGGUGAGUAACGCGUAGGUAACCUGCCUAUUAGCGGGGGAUAACUAUUGGAAACGAUAGCUAAUACCGCAUAAGAGAGUUUAACACAUGUUAGACGCUUGAAAGAUGCAAGAGCAUCACUAGUAGAUGGACCUGCGUUGUAUUAGCUAGUAGGUAGGGUAAAGGCCUACCUAGGCGACGAUACAUAGCCGACCUGAGAGGGUGACCGGCCACACUGGGACUGAGACACGGCCCAGACUCCUACGGGAGGCAGCAGUAGGGAAUCUUCGGCAAUGGGGGGAACCCUGACCGAGCAACGCCGCGUGAGUGAAGAAGGUUUUCGGAUCGUAAAGCUCUGUUGUCAGAGACGAACGUGUGUGAGAGUGGAAAGUUCACACAGUGACGGUAACUGACCAGAAAGGGACGGCUAACUACGUGCCAGCAGCCGCGGUAAUACGUAGGUCCCGAGCGUUGUCCGGAUUUAUUGGGCGUAAAGCGAGCGCAGGCGGUUUUGUAAGUCUGAAGUCAAAGGCAGUGGCUUAACCAUUGUGUGCUUUGGAAACUGCAGGACUUGAGUGCAGAAGGGGAGAGUGGAAUUCCAUGUGUAGCGGUGAAAUGCGUAGAUAUAUGGAGGAACACCGGUGGCGAAAGCGGCUCUCUGGUCUGUAACUGACGCUGAGGCUCGAAAGCGUGGGUAGCGAACAGGAUUAGAUACCCUGGUAGUCCACGCCGUAAACGCUGAGUGCUAGGUGUUAGGCCCUUUCCGGGGCUUAGUGCCGGAGCUAACGCAUUAAGCACUCCGCCUGGGGAGUACGACCGCAAGGUUGAAACUCAAAGGAAUUGACGGGGGCCCGCACAAGCGGUGGAGCAUGUGGUUUAAUUCGAAGCAACGCGAAGAACCUUACCAGGUCUUGACAUCCCGAUGCCCGCUCUAGAGAUAGAGUUUUACUUUUGUACAUCGGUGACAGGUGGUGCAUGGUUGUCGUCAGCUCGUGUCGUGAGAUGUUGGGUUAAGUCCCGCAACGAGCGCAACCCUUAUUGUUAGUUGCCAUCAUUGAGUUGGGCACUCUAGCGAGACUGCCGGUAAUAAACCGGAGGAAGGUGGGGAUGACGUCAAAUCAUCAUGCCCCUUAUGACCUGGGCUACACACGUGCUACAAUGGUCGGUACAACGAGUCGCGAGCCGGUGACGGCAAGCUAAUCUCUGAAAGCCGAUCUCAGUUCGGAUUGGAGGCUGCAACUCGCCUCCAUGAAGUCGGAAUCGCUAGUAAUCGCGGAUCAGCACGCCGCGGUGAAUACGUUCCCGGGCCUUGUACACACCGCCCGUCACACCACGAGAGUUUGUAACACCCGAAGUCGGUGAGGUAACCGUUA
rnacentral:rRNA from 1 species